GAUUUGUAACGCUGGUCGGCGAUGCUUUACUACAUGCAAGUCGGACGGCAGCGACAGAGAAGCUUGCUUCUUGGUGGCGGAGUGGCGAACGGUAGAGUAACAUAUCGGAACGUACGAGUAAUGGGGAUAACUAAUCGAAAGAUUAGCUAAUACCGCAUAUUCUCUGAGGAGGAAAGCAGGGGACCUUCGGGCCUUGCGUUAUUCGAGCGGCCGAUAUCUGAUUAGCUAGUUGGUGGGGUAAAGGCCUACCAAGGCGACGAUCAGUAGCGGGUCUGAGAGGAUGAUCCGCCACACUGGGACUGAGACACGGCCCAGACUCCUACGGGAGGCAGCAGUGGGGAAUUUUGGACAAUGGGCGCAAGCCUGAUCCAGCCAUGCCGCGUGUCUGAAGAAGGCCUUCGGGUUGUAAAGGACUUUUGUCAGGGAAGAAAAGGCUGUUGCUAAUACCGACAGUUGAUGACGGUACCUGAAGAAUACGCACUGGCUAACUACGUG
rnacentral:rRNA from 1 species